UACGUAGGGUGCAAGCGUUGUCCGGAAUUAUUGGGCGUAAAGAGCUCGUAGGCGGUCUGUCGCGUCGGCUGUGAAAACCCGGGGCUCAACCCCGGGCCUGCAGUCGAUACGGGCGGACUAGAGUGCGGUAGGGGAGACUGGAAUUCCUGGUGUAGCGGUGAAAUGCGCAGAUAUCAGGAGGAACACCGGUGGCGAAGGCGGGUCUCUGGGCCGAUACUGACGCUGAGGAGCGAAAGCGUGGGGAGCGAACAGG
rnacentral:rRNA from 1 species